rnacentral:rRNA from 1 species
UGCAGUCGAGCGGAUGAAGGGAGCUUGCUCCUGGAUUCAGCGGCGGACGGGUGAGUAAUGCCUAGGAAUCUGCCUGGUAGUGGGGGAUAACGUCCGGAAACGGGCGCUAAUACCGCAUACGUCCUGAGGGAGAAAGUGGGGGAUCUUCGGACCUCACGCUAUCAGAUGAGCCUAGGUCGGAUUAGCUAGUUGGUGGGGUAAAGGCCUACCAAGGCGACGAUCCGUAACUGGUCUGAGAGGAUGAUCAGUCACACUGGAACUGAGACACGGUCCAGACUCCUACGGGAGGCAGCAGUGGGGAAUAUUGGACAAUGGGCGAAAGCCUGAUCCAGCCAUGCCGCGUGUGUGAAGAAGGUCUUCGGAUUGUAAAGCACUUUAAGUUGGGAGGAAGGGCAGUAAGUUAAUACCUUGCUGUUUUGACGUUACCAACAGAAUAAGCACCGGCUAACUUCGUGCCAGCAGCCGCGGUAAUACGAAGGGUGCAAGCGUUAAUCGGAAUAACUGGGCGUAAAGCGCGCGUAGGUGGUUCAGCAAGUUGGAUGUGAAAUCCCCGGGCUCAACCUGGGAACUGCAUCCAAAACUACUGAGCUAGAGUACGGUAGAGGGUGGUGGAAUUUCCUGUGUAGCGGUG